rnacentral:rRNA from 1 species
ACCCGCUGAAUUUAAGCAUAUCAAUAAGCGGAGGAAAAGAAACUAACAAGGAUUCCCCUAGUAACUGCGAGUGAAGCGGGAAAAGCUCAAAUUUAAAAUCUGGUGGUCUUUGGCCAUCCGAGUUGUAAUCUAGAGAAGUGUUAUCCGCGCUGGACCGUGUACAAGUCCCCUGGAAUGGGGCGUCAUAGAGGGUGAGAAUCCCGUCUUUGACACGGACUACCAGGGCUUUGUGAUGCACUCUCAAAGAGUCGAGUUGUUUGGGAAUGCAGCUCAAAAUGGGUGGUAAAUUCCAUCUAAAGCUAAAUAUUGGCGAGAGACCGAUAGCGAACAAGUACCGUGAGGGAAAGAUGAAAAGAGCUUUGGGAAGAGAGUUAAACAGUACGUGAAAUUGUUGAAAGGGAAACGCUUGAAGUCAGUCGCGUCUGCCAGGGAUCAACCUUACUUUUGUGAGGCGUACUUCCUGGUUGAUGGGUCAGCAUCAGUUUUGGUUGCUGGAUAAAGGUCAGAGAAAUGUGGCACCUUCGGGUGUGUUAUAGUCUUUGAUCAGAUACAGUGGCUGGGACUGAGGAACUCAGCGCCGCAAGGCUGUCUUAGGAUGCUGGCAAAAUGGCUUUAAUCGACCCGUCUUGAACACGGACCAAGGAG